rnacentral:rRNA from 1 species
UAAUAGCGUAUACUAAUGUUGUUGCAGUUAAAAAGCUCGUAGUUGAAAAUUGAAUAUUUUAAUAAGUUUGGUCUUUAUUUUUAUAUUGACUACUUAUUAAUAUUCUUCCUACUAGUAACUCGAUACUGAUCUUAAUUGAUUGGUAUAGCAAGUUUUCGAAUUUGUCAAUAUUUGUAUAUAGCUCCUCUAAUUUUAUGGAUAGGUGUAAAAGUCUUGAAAUAUAUUAUGUGGAUCAAGUUAUUUAUUUAUAUUGGAGUUCUAGUUCAUUUACUUUGAGAAAAUUAGAGUGUUUAAAGCAGCCUCUUGGGGCUUUGAAUAUAUUAGCAUGGGAUAAUAAAAUAGGAUUUAAAUUAAUAUAUUUGUUGGUUUGAAUUUAUUUAAAUAAUGAUUAAUAGGGACAGUUGGGGGUAUUUAUAUUGGAUGGUUAGCGGUGAAAUGCGUGGAUCCAUUCAAGAUAAACUAAAGCGAAAGCAUUUACCAAGGAUGUUUUCAUUAA